rnacentral:rRNA from 1 species
GCAGCCAUCAUUUAAAGAAAGCGUAAUAGCUCACUGGUCGAGUCGGCCUGCGCGGAAGAUGUAACGGGGCUAAGUAGUAAACCGAAGCUGCGGCAAUGCACUUUUAGUGCAUUGGGUAGGGGAGCGUUCUGUAAGCGGUUGAAGGUGUGUGGUAACGCAUGCUGGACGUAUCAGAAGUGCGAAUGCUGACAUGAGUAACG